CCUACGGGAGGCAGCAGUGGGGAAUAUUGCACAAUGGGGGAAACCCUGAUGCAGCGACGCCGCGUGAGUGAAGAAGUAUGUCGGUAUGUAAAGCUCUAUCAGCAGGGAAGAAAAUGACGGUACCUGAUUAAGAAGCCCCGGCUAACUACGUGCCAGCAGCCGCGGUAAGACGUAGGGGGCAAGCGUUAUCCGGAUUUACUGGGUGUAAAGGGAGCGUAGACGGCAGCACAAGUCUGGAGUGAAAUGCCGGGGCUUAACCCCGGAACUGCUUUGGAAACUGUGCAGCUAGAGUGCAGGAGAGGUAAGUGGAAUUCCUAGUGUAGCGGUGAAAUGCGUAGAUAUUAGGAGGAACACCAGUGGCGAAGGCGGCUUACUGGACUGUAACUGACGUUGAGGCUCGAAAGCGUGGGGAGCAAACAGGAUUAGAUACCCUUGUAGUC
rnacentral:rRNA from 1 species